rnacentral:rRNA from 1 species
CCUACGGGUGGCUGCAGUGAGGAAUAUUGGUCAAUGGACGCAAGUCUGAACCAGCCAUGCCGCGUGCAGGAAGACGGCCCUAUGGGUUGUAAACUGCUUUUGUACGAGGGUAAACGCAGAUACGCGUAUCUGUCUGAAAGUACCGUACGAAUAAGGAUCGGCUAACUCCGUGCCAGCAGCCGCGGUAAUACGGAGGAUUCAAGCGUUAUCCGGAAUCAUUGGGUUUAAAGGGUCCGUAGGCGGUCGGAUAAGUUAGAGGUGAAAUCCCGGGGCUCAACUUCGGAAUUGCCUCUGAUACUGUUCGGCUAGAGAGUAGUUGCGGUAGGCGGAAUGUAUGGUGUAGCGGUGAAAUGCUUAGAGAUCAUACAGAACACCGAUUGCGAAGGCAGCUUACCAAGCUACUUCUGACGUUGAGGCACGAAAGCGUGGGGAGCAAACAGGAUUAGAUACCCGGGUAGUCC